rnacentral:rRNA from 1 species
ACUCCUACGGGAGGCAGCAGUGGGGGAAUAUUGCACAAUGGGGGAAACCCGUGAUGCAGCCAUGCCGCGUGUGUGAAGAAGGCCUCGGUUGUAAAGCACUUUCAGUAGGAGGAAGGUAGUGUAGUUAACACCUGCAUUAUUUGUACGUUACCUACAGAAGAAGCACCGGCUAACUCCGUGCCAGCAGCCGCGGUAAUACGGAGGGUGCGAGCGUUAAUCGGAAUUACUGGGCGUAAAGCGCAUGCAGGCGGCCUGUUAAGUUCAGAUGUGAAAGCCCGGGGCUUAACCUCGGAAUUGCAUUUGAAACUGGCGAGGCUAGAGUCUUGUAGAGGGGUUAGGAAUUUCGAGGUGUAGCGGUGAAAUGCGUAGAGAUCUGAAGG